rnacentral:rRNA from 1 species
CCUACGGGAGGCUGCAGUGGGGAAUAUUGCACAAUGGGCGCAAGCCUGAUGCAGCCAUGCCGCGUGUAUGAAGAAGGCCUUCGGGUUGUAAAGUACUUUCAGCGGGGAGGAAGGGAGUAAAGUUAAUACCUUUACUCAUUGACGUUACCCGCAGAAGAAGCACCGGCUAACUCCGUGCCAGCAGCCGCGGUAAUACGGAGGGUGCAAGCGUUAAUCGGAAUUACUGGGCGUAAAGCGCACGCAGGCGGUUUGUUAAGUCAGAUGUGAAAUCCCCGGGCUCAACCUGGGAACUGCAUCUGAUACUGGCAAGCUUGAGUCUCGUAGAGGGGGGUAGAAUUCCAGGUGUAGCGGUGAAAUGCGUAGAGAUCUGGAGGAAUACCGGUGGCGAAGGCGGCCCCCUGGACGAAGACUGACGCUCAGGUGCGAAAGCGUGGGGAGCAAACAGGAUUAGAUACCCUUGUAGUC